CUAAUACACACACACAGGUACACACACUACCAGGUACACACUAAUACACACACACACAACGGUACACACACUACCAGGUACACACUAAUACACACACACACAGGUACACACACUACCAGGUACACACUAAUACACACACACACAGGUACACACACUACCAGGUACACACUAAUACACACACACACAGGUACACACACUACCAGGUACACACUAAUACACACACACACAGGUACACACACUACCAGGUACACACUAAUACACACACAGGUAAAAGAACCAGAGGAACCGGAGGAACCGGCACUGUGGGGGAAUGAAGAUCUGAUGCUGGAUCAGCUGAGUGACAGAUGUCUCCGUGUGUUGCUAG
ensembl:lncRNA